rnacentral:rRNA from 1 species
GCAACUCGACUCCAUGAAGCUGGAUUCGCUAGUAAUCGCGCAUCAGCCAUGGCGCGGUGAAUACGUUCCCGGGCCUUGUACACACCGCCCGUCAAGCCAUGGAAGCCGGGAGUGCCUGAAGUGUGCAACCGCAAGGAGCGCCCUAAGGUAAAACUGGUGACUGGGGCUAAGUCGUAACAAGGUAUC